UUCGCCUACGGGAGGCAGCAGUGAGGAAUAUUGGUCAAUGGUCGGGAGACUGAACCAGCCAAGCCGCGUGAGGGAGGAAGGUACAGAGUAUCGUAAACCUCUUUUGUCAGGGAACAAAGGCGGGGACGUGUCCCCGGAUGAGUGUACCUGAAGAAAAAGCAUCGGCUAAAUCCGUGCCAGCAGCCGCGGUAAUACGGAGGAUGCGAGCGUUAUCCGGAUUUAUUGGGUUUAAAGGGUGCGAAGGCGGGUUAUCAAGGUAGCGGUAAAAUCGCG
rnacentral:rRNA from 1 species